GUGGCGGCAGUAGUUCUGCGGCGGAGCGUUAGGGGCGCGCUUCUCUGCUAGUGUUGUUUUGUCGUGGCGCUGGCGACCUGUCCCUUCCCCACUCUCCUCCUCCUUUCUCCCAACCCCAGAGAUCACGGCAGAGGAGAGCGACGGGUGGCGUAUCCCACCGCCGUGGGAGAAACUCUUAAUGUGUGUGCGAUCGGCAAAUGAACGAGUGAGUAAACGGCAAGGACGGCGGCCAGAGACGUUCUCUUCUCCCUCCCCCGACGAGUUUGCUGGCCUUUAGUUUCCUUCUCUGUAAAGCAGAUGUGUUCAAAUGCUGCCCGUCUCACGGGGCUGGCUUCCUAGAUGUUUUUAACAGAAAAGAGAAUCCCUGCAAGUGGCUGAAUGGGACAAGCAAAUCCACUAGAAGCUGCUCUGAAGCCCCAUUCAUUCCAGCAUUGUUAAGAGAGCUCCAGAAGACCCCAGGACUGCUUGGAAAAUAUUCCUGAGCCUGGACAAAUAUAUAACAUUAAAAGAGAAUGAGGAUUCUUUAUUCUUCAGGGGAGAUAAAAGUUCACCUGUUUCAUUUGAAUGCUGGGUUCUUUCAAAUGAAGUUAUUUAUCUUCCAUUCUAGCAGAAACUCAUGAUUUCUCAGAUGUUAAUACAGAAUCAAAAGCUGUGGCUAAAACUUUGCAAAUAGCUUGUGCUUGUUCCUGUGUUAUGUAAAAUAGUAAAAAGACAAAACUAUGUUAUUAAAAGCAUUCAUUCAUUAAAAAAAAUGUAUACUGAGAAUUAUGAUCUAAUACAAUAAAUUUCCCAAAGGAUCUCACACAUGGAUAGUUAAACCCAGUCUCCAGAAUUGUGGUCUCACCCCAGGCCUUGAAAA